rnacentral:rRNA from 1 species
UUCGCCCUUUGAUCCUGCCGGACCUGACUGCUAUCGGAUUGAUACUAAGCCAUGCGAGUCAUUGUAGCAAUACAAGGCAGACGGCUCAGUAACGCGUAGUCAACCUAACCUAUGGACGGGAAUAACCUCGGGAAACUGAGAAUAAUGCCCGAUAGAACACUAUACCUGGAAUGGUUUGUGUUCCAAAUGAUUUAUCGCCGUAGGAUGGGACUGCGGCCUAUCAGUUUGUUGGUGAGGUAAUGGCCCACCAAGACUAUUACAGGUACGGGCUCUGAGAGGAGUAGCCCGGAGAUGGGUACUGAGACACGGACCCAGGCCCUAUGGGGCGCAGCAGGCGAGAAAACUUUGCAAUGUGCGAAAGCACGACAAGGUUAAUCCGAGUGAUUUGUGCUAAACGAAUCUUUUGUUAGUCCUAGAACCACUAACGAAUAAGGGGUGGGCAAGUUCUGGUGUCAGCCGCCGCGGUAAAACCAGCACCUCAAGUGGUCAGGAUGAUUAUUGGGCCUAAAGCAUCCGUAGCCGGCUCUGUAAGUUUUCGGUUAAAUCUGUACGCUUAACGUACAGGCUGCCGGGAAUACUGCAGAGCUAGGGAGUGGGAGAGGUAGACGGUACUCGGUAGGAAGGGGUAAAAUCCUUUGAUCUAUUGAUG